rnacentral:rRNA from 1 species
CUGAUCCAGCCAUGCCGCGUGUGUGAAGAAGGUCUUCGGAUUGUAAAACACUUUUGUUUGGGAGGAAGGGCAGUAAGUUAAUACCUUGGUGUUUUGACGUUACCGACAGAAUAAGCACCGGCUAACUCUGUGCCAGCAGCCGCGGUAAUACAGAGGGUGCAAGCGUUAAUCGGAAUUACUGGGCGUAAAGCGCGCGUAGGUGGUUUGUUAAGUUGGAUGUGAAAGCCCCGGGCUCAACCUGGGAACUGCAUUUGAAACUGGGGAGCUUGAGUACGGUAGAAGGAGGUGGAAUUUCCUGUGUAGCGGUGAAAUGCGUAGAUAUUGGAAGGAACACCAGUGGCGAAGGCGACCUUCUGGACUGAUACUGACACUGAAGUGCGAAAGCGUGGGGAGCAAACAGGAUUAAAUACCCUGGUAGUCCACGCCGUAAACGAUGUCAACUAACCGUUGGAAUCCUUGAGAUUUUUUUGGCGCAACUAACGCAUUAAAUUGACCGCCUGGGGAGUACGGCCGCAAGGUUAAAACUCAAAUGAAUUGACGGGGGCCCGCACAAGCGGUGGAGCAUGUGGUUUAAUUCUAAGCAACGCGAAGAACCUUACCAGGCCUUGACAUGCCCAGAAAUUUCCAUAGAUGGAUUGGUGCCUUCUCGAACUCUGACACACGUGCUGCAUGGCUGUCGUCACCUCUUGUCGUGAGAUGUUGGGUUAAGUCCCGUAACAAGCGCAACACUUGUCCUUAUUUACCACCACGUUAUGGUGGGCACUCUAAGGAGACUGCCGGUGACAAACCGGAGGAAGGUGGGGAUGACGUCAAGUCAUCAUGGCCCUUACAGCCUGGGCUACACACGUGCUACAAUGGACGGUACAGAGAGCUGCCAAGCCGCGAGUGGAGCUAAUCUCACAAAACCGAUUGUAGUCGGAUCGCAGUCUGCACUCGACUGCAUGAGUCGGAAUCGCUAGUAAUCGCGAUCAGAUGUCGCGGUGAUACGUUCCCGGCUGUACACACCGCUCGUCACACAUGGAGUGGUAGCACGAGUAGCUAGUUUACUUCUGGAGACCGCUACCUAAGUGUGAUCAAUGACUGGGUGAGUCGUACACAAGG